ACCGUCCCCUACCAGGCGUUACAAACGCCUGUACAGUGGUGUAAUGGCCUCCUUCCAUUUCUUCUGAAACGGGGCGGUUAUCACAGCUUCAUUCUAUCCAACUAUACAAAGCAAGGUUUUAGAUAUGAAUACCGAAUCUCAUAUUAUUUUUCCAUUAGAAUGGUAUGAUAUCAAUACGGUACCUACAUACCAAAACUAAUAUAUUCCCAAAAAUUGAACAUUAGUACUACUACAAUACUACCGAUAUGGAUUAGUAUGGACCGGUAUGGUUGGUAUGUACCAUUACAAUUGUUGCGUCAUCUAGCAUUCACACCGAGUUUCAUGCCAGAAUGAUACGGUACUUGCCGUACCAUUCCAUUUCAAUAGUUUUUGAAACCAUGAUAUCAAGUCCUAGUCAUUUACGAUUACAAACAUAGGAAUGCUCCCUUCAAUUUGCUCACCAACAAGCUGUAUUGGAAACAAUCGAAUGCACUGGCCCAAAGUCCUCAAGUUUAAGCAGCAGUACCAGAAGAAAGAGGUGUUCCAUGUGAGUAAAAGACAAACAUAGGCAAAGUGAACAAUUAUAAAAUGAUGCCAAUCCAAUACCCA
rnacentral:lncRNA from 1 species